UCCCAGGCCUUGCCCCUCCUCCGCCUGCCCAGCGCGCGGGCGCGCACCUUCAUUCCAGUUUCUUCCCCGGACUCCGCAGGUCUCCGGAGUAGCCCCGUCGCGGUCUGAGUGCAGCCCGGCCCCUGGCUCUCGCUGUGUCCCCUCCUGUCAGCACGUCACAAACGCACCUUCACAGUUUCAAGAGUCUGCAGGAGCACAGGGGCCACGCGCACCCUGGCGCGUUGUGAGGCCGGAGCUUUCUGAGACAGCUCCCAGCCGAGUGCCUCAAAGCCCAGCUCUUGCGGUGGGUUUCAUGGAGCUUUCUCCGUUCCCAAGGUAAUCACCGGACGUGCAGAGCUCCUGGACAUACGCUAAGAGGGGCUGAGUGCGCAGAGAGAGGAGAGCCCGCUCUGACCCCCAGCCCCGCAGCCGAGCAACUCUGGGGAAGCUAUUUGGAGCCGUCCGAGCCCGCGCCGGCGAUUCACGCUGCAUCAGCGUUGCUCAAGAUGGAAGCAUGGUUUCAUUGGAACCGGGAAUAAUAAUGCCCACAUGGACGGCUGAUUGCUCUUGGCAGACGACUCCUCUGAACUCCAGUGUAGGCCAGAUGCGGGCAACUGGGUGGAACUGACAGCAAGAGAAUCCAGGUUACUUGAAUUGUCUUGCCCUCUUUUGAUGAAGCCAAGGCUCAACUCUUCUGGGGACAGGAAGCAACGACUUGCCCCUCGCCACUACCCUCAGGAAUUUCUGUGGCCACACCGUACCCCUGAAUGCUCCCUCGGUGACUGAAAGCAACUUGUGUUUUGCCGUCGGAGAUGGGGAAUAAAACCUAAGUCAUUAACACGAAUGCUAGGGGAGUCCAGGAGGUUGGCUCUCCGUAAGUGAGACCGAGUGUGUGUUUGUAAAUUGCAGGUGGUGGGGAGAGCCUCUGGUCUGGGUCUCGGCAGGCCUUUGCGGAGGGUAGGGCAAGUGCGGAGUCCACAGCAGAGUAAGUGCCUGCUUACACUCCUGCUUACACUCGGGGCCUGACUUUUCCCCCCUGGGCCUGUUGCUGCUACUCCUGGGAGCAUCUAGCCAGGAGCAGCUGGCAAAGGAGAGUCGUGGUUUACAGAGUCCCCAGCAUCACAAAGCAGAUGGGCAUUUGGAGCGAAGAGACAACAGCUGAGGAGACAUCACAGUCACUCGGCUUAAACCUUGUGACCACCCUGAGAGGCAGAGCAGAGAAUACAUGAUCAGGAAGCCCUUUAUCUCUGUCAACAAGAGAGAUCCAGAGAUGGAGCCCAAUGGAUCACAAUGACUUUUUGACCUGUGUUUCCUGUUACAUGGUGCAUCCAGAGAAUGAGGAGCAUUUUCCUAAAGAGAGGCCAGGUUCAUCCCAGUGGAUCCAAUACUGUAUUCAUCUGCUCCUGAAAAACAAAUAUCAGAGUUAUUUAUUUAUUCAAGUUUUGUUUGAGACAUUUCACCCUAUUAUCCUCUGGCUGGACCACUGGACCUGCACUCAGAAAUGGGAACCAGCUGACUAAAUAAACACUUGCCUAUGGAAAAAGAAGCAGGAAACACGUUUCCAAAACGAGUAAUAUUAACAAACUUCCAAGGGAUAUACAAUCCAUAAUUAAUGACAAUUUGGAGGAAAAAAGACAUAAAAACUUGGAAUUGAAAUAUGACUCUGAGAACAGAGUCAUCAUGAAGAACAAACGGAACAUUUUGGGUAAAGUACCUGGCACACAAUCAACACAGCAAAUAUUACCCCUACUGGUACUACUUACUGAGCCUGCCUCAGCAUCACAGACUGUGCAAACUGAGCAAUCCCAUUGCUACUUUGGCCUCUCCUGCUUUCUCUUCACACGGAUAAUUCACACUAAGGACUCAUACUUUUCCUUCAUGGGUAUUUGUAUUUUUUCUACCUCUGUCCCCCAGAUGUCACCCCUCCUUCUAGUCUACCUGAGAUGCUAUAAUAAAUUUACAAACUUAUAA